rnacentral:lncRNA from 1 species
CCUUUCUGCCCUCUGCCAUGUGAGGUCACAGUGUUCCUCCCUCCUGAGGAUGCAGUGUUCAUGAAAGCAAACACUGGGCCCUCACCAGGCAACAAACCUGCUGGUGCCUUCAUCUUGGACUUCCCAGCCUUCGGAACUGCAGUGGUGGCUGAGAGGAAGAACUGACACCUUUGUGCUAUCAGAGCACUUUGCAGAGGAGCUGUUAGUGGCCCUGUAGGAGUCUGCUGGCCAUACAUCUGGGUGUCAAAUCAAGAGAGCAUGAGAAGUUGGACAGGAAAGGUCCAAGGCAAAAUGGUUACUAAAGGCCAUCCCUGAUCCUGACCCUAAAAGAAGAAAAGGCCCUUUGCUCUUGGCAUGCUUUUGCAGGAGUGUCUCAGUCUGUUUGGGCUGCUAUAACAUUGACUGGGUGAUCUGCCUGCCUGGCCUCCCAAAGUGCUGGGGUUACAGGUGUGAGCCGCUGCACCAGGCCUUGAGGUCAGGAGUUCGAGACCAGCCUGGCCAACAUGGUGAAACCUGUCUUUACUAAAAAUACAGAAAUUAGCCAGGCAUGGAGGCGCAUGCCUGUAAUCCCAGCUACUGGGGAGGCUGAGGCAGGAGAAUCGCUUGAACCCAGAAGGUGGAGGUUGCGGUGAGCCCAGAUAGUGCCAUUGCACUCUAGCCUGGCCAACAAGAGUGAAACUCUGUCUCAAAAAAUAAAUAAACAAACAAACAAACA